rnacentral:rRNA from 1 species
GACGAACGCUGGCGGCAUGCCUAAUACAUGCAAGUCGAGCGAACAGAUGAAGUGCUUGCGCUUCUGACGUUAGCGGCGAACGGGUGAGUAACACGUAAGGAAUCUACCUAUAAGCGGGGGAUAACAUUCGGAAACGGGUGCUAAUACCGCAUAAUAUCUUCUUCCGCAUGGAAGAAGAUUGAAAGACGGCUCUGCUGUCACUUAUAGAUGACCUUGCGGUGCAUUAGUUAGUUGGUGGGGUAAUGGCCUACCAAGACGAUGAUGCAUAGCCGACCUGGAAGGGUGAUCGGCCACAUUGGGACUGAGACACGGCCCAAACUCCUACGGGAGGCAGCAGUAGGGAAUCUUCCGCAAUGGGCGAAAGCCUGACGGAGCAAUGCCGCGUGAGUGAAGAAGGUCUUCGGGUCGUAAAACUCUGUUAUAAGAGAAGAACAAAUUGUAGAGUAACUGCUACAGUCUUGACGGUAUCUUAUCAGAAAGCCACGGCUAACUACGUGCCAGCCGCCGCCGUAA